rnacentral:rRNA from 1 species
GAUGAACGCUGGCGGCGUGCCUAAUACAUGCAAGUCGAGCGAACAGAUGAGGAGCUUGCUCCUCUGACGUUAGCGGCGGACGGGUGAGUAACACGUGGAUAACCUACCUAUAAGACUGGGAUAACUUCGGGAAACCGGAGCUAAUACCGGAUAAUAUAUUGAACCGCAUGGUUCAAUAGUGAAAGACGGUUUUGCUGUAACUUAUAGAUGGAUCCGCGCCGCAUUAGCUAGUUGGUAAGGUAACGGCUUACCAAGGCAACGAUGCGUAGCCGACCUGAGAGGGUGAUCGGCCACACUGGAACUGAGACACGGUCCAGACUCCUACGGGAGGCAGCAGUAGGGAAUCUUCCGCAAUGGUCGAAAGCCUGACGGAGCAACGCCGCGUGAGUGAUGAAGGUCUUCGGAUCGUAAAACUCUGUUAUUAGGGAAGAACAAAUGUGUAAGUAACUAUGCACGUCUUGACGGUACCUAAUCAGAAAGCCACGGCUAACUACGUG